UUGUCUCAAUUUUGAGCAUUUUUUCCCGUUCAUUUGGUUUCAAAAUCAAAUGGAGUGGGACAGCGAUUUCGAUCCUAGCGGCGAAGAAGAUGUGGCUGAUGACGGAUAAGAAGAAGGAGCUUGUUGAUGACAAGAAGCUGGAGAUUCAGAAGCUGCUGAACCCUGAAGCUGAGCAGUUUAAUCAGGUUUAUGAUCAGCUUGUUUCCAUUGGGAGAUUGAUCACUAACUUCCAUAGGGAGGAGAGGAGAGAAGAGAAGAGAUAUAUUCUCAGGUAUUUGAAUCAGACUUUUGGCUGCCUUUGAUCUAGGAUCCCUUUUGGUUUGAGUUAUGGUUUGAUUGGGUUUCUCGAUCUUGUUUGGAUAUUUAUGUUGUUCUGUAUCUUGUUUUGAUCUGAAUCAAUUCAUCAUCAUCGUUCCUUGUAAUAGAAAUCUGUAGUUUGAUCUAUUGACUACAUUGUUUCUUAGUGCUGCUAUGACUUAUCUGAACAACCCUGCAGAUGAGAGGAGCAAAUAUAAGUAUAACGUCGACAAAGAAAUGACGCUUCUCAAGUGAAAAUGGCGGUGGACUGUUCAACAAAGCUACUGAGAAGCUGCAAGGGAGAAUCGGUUACCAGCAUGUGUAUGUAGAUUUCUCAGACCUUGAAGUCACAGUUCCUUAAAGUGUGAGGGAUGCGUGGGAGCUGUGAAACGAGUCCUAGGCAAAAUGCAAGUUGGAAGGGGUGAAUCGAUAAGAUCUAACAAAGAUGGCGAACUUGCAAGUUUCUGGAAUAAUUGAAAAUGAACAACGCAGACGCAGCGAACAAUGUUAGCAAACGGACAGGAACUGUUUGCACUGAUGAUAACACUUUCAUGCUCUCCAUAGUUUUCACCAGUGGCCAAUCCAUGUUGCUUGUUCACGUUGGCUUUCUCAUUCUAAUUGUAUCUUCUCUCUUUGUCCUCCUCAAUUGGUUUCUCAUUCGUCUAUGUGUCUAGCUUAUCAAUCCUUUGACUUGUUUUAAUUUAGGAUUCAAACAUUGGUCUGUUUAUUGACAGCAUAAGAUGUCGAGAUGGAAAACACCAUUGGACGUUCUUUU